UACAGCCAUAUCACAUUGAAACACCAGUUCUCGUACGAUCACCAAAGUUAAGCAACGCGGAGCCUCGUCAGUAUCUAGAUGGGUGACUGCUUGGGAAUACCAAGUGCUGUAA